CAUUCACGGAGAGUUUGAUCCUGGCUCAGGACGAACGCUGGCGGCGUGCUUAACACAUGCAAGUCGAACGAUGAACCACUUCGGUGGGGAUUAGUGGCGAACGGGUGAGUAACACGUGGGCAAUCUGCCCUUCACUCUGGGACAAGCCCUGGAAACGGGGUCUAAUACCGGAUACGAGUCUCCAAGGCAUCUUGGAGGCUGGAAAGCUCCGGCGGUGAAGGAUGAGCCCGCGGCCUAUCAGCUUGUUGGUGAGGUAACGGCUCACCAAGGCGACGACGGGUAGCCGGCCUGAGAGGGCGACCGGCCACACUGGGACUGAGACACGGCCCAGACUCCUACGGGAGGCAGCAGUGGGGAAUAUUGCACAAUGGGCGAAAGCCUGAUGCAGCGACGCCGCGUGAGGGAUGACGGCCUUCGGGUUGUAAACCUCUUUCAGCAGGGAAGAAGCGAGAGUGACGGUAC
rnacentral:rRNA from 1 species